UACGGCCUACGGGACGCAGCAGUGAGGAAUAUUGGUCAAUGGGCUUACGCCUGAACCAGCCAAGUCGCGUGAGGGAAGACUGCCCUAUGGGUUGUAAACCUCUUUUGUCAGGGAGCAACGCCGGCUACGUGUAGCCGGACUGAGAGUACCUGAAGAAAAAGCAUCGGCUAACUCCGUGCCAGCAGCCGCGGUAAUACGGAGGAUGCGAGCGUUAUCCGGAUUUAUUGGGUUUAAAGGGUGCGUAGGCGGAAUGCCAAGUCAGCGGUAAAAUCGCGGGGCUCAACCCCGCUCCGCCGUUGAAACUG
rnacentral:rRNA from 1 species